rnacentral:rRNA from 1 species
CGGCGUGGAUUAGGCAUGCAAGUCGCACGAGAAACUAAUUAGCUUGCUAAGAGGUGGACAGUGGCGCAAGGGAGAGUAACGCGUGGUUACUUGCCCUCGAGACCGGGAUAGUGUCGGGAAACUGGCAGUAAUACCGGAUAACAUCUUCGGAUCAAAUGGUGUGAUUCCGCUCGAGGAUAGGACCGCGUACUAUUAGCUUGUUGGUGAGGUAACGGCUCACCAAGGCUGCGAUGGUUACCGGGUGUGAGAGCAUGGCCCGGCUCACUGGGACUGAGACACUGCCCAGACACCUACGGGUGGCUGCAGUCGAGAAUCUUCGGCAAUGGACGAAAGUCUGACCGAGCGACGCCGCGUGCGGGAUGAAGGCCCUCGGGUUGUAAACCGCUGUCAGUAGUUAGGAAAUCCAUGAGGGUUAUCUCUCAUGGUUGACCGAUCUUCAGAGGAAGGACGGGCUAAGUUCGUGCCAGCAGCCGCGGUAAGACGAACCGUCCAAACGUUAUUCGGUAUCACUGGGCUUAAAGCGUGCGUAGGCGGCUUGGUAGGUGAGAUGUGAAAGCCCACGGCUCAACCGUGGAAUUGCGUUUCAAACCC